rnacentral:lncRNA from 1 species
GGUUGAGAUAACGGCAGAUCUGAUCAGAGUGUGUUAAACUAAAAUUGGUGUAAGGAUUAGACCUGCUUAAUAGUCACUUGUCAUGAUGCUGAUUGCUUUAAUCUCAACUCUGCUGCGCCUGUUUUCCAAAUUGAGUAUUAUAGUACAUUAUUUUCCGUAUUUUCUCUCUGUAGUGUUGUUUAUCCUCUCUGGGCCCUGGUUUCAGAUCAUUAUGGUACUGAGUAUUAUAGCAAUGGCUUAUGAGACGAUAAGAUAUCUGGUCAUGACUCUAACUUGGUAUUCAUACUCAGUAACAUCGUGGACUCUGUACUUUGGAAACAGUAUCUUGGGAACUAUUAGCAAUUAUACCUAUUGUUUUUCUCCAUUAGAGAGUCAGUCUGUGGAGGGAAAAGGGGAAGAUAAUUUUUCUUACUUGAUUACUCUCCCUUUCUCCUUCACCACCCCUGUAUCCUCCUGGAUCACUCUGCCUUCUCCCUCAAAAUAUCUGCCUUCCUCCUUCACCACCCUCUUAUCCCCUGAGCUUGUCAAAAUAGCUCUCCAAGAUAUUGAAUAUUAUUGGGAUACUCGGAAUACCAUAGUCUUGUUGUUCUGCCUCAUGAAUGCACUUCAGAUUCUGCUUAAAGUUAAACAACUACUUGGGGAGCUCAUCUGGAGAUCUGCCCGGAGGCAGGAUAGUUGUGGGUGGCAGGGAGUAUGGGUGGAUAUGGGCAGGCAUCUAGAGCAGUUGGCACCCCCAGUGUGUUGGAAAUUCACCCCUGAGCAAUGGCAAAAUCCUCAAAAACUGGCAGAAUGCUUGAAAAAAAGGUGUCAUGAUUCUGGCAGUUCCAAAGUAACACAAAUCAUUGUAACGUGCUGGGGCCUGGCUCAUGCCUAUCGAGCUGCCAUUGAUACUGCUAUCAACUUAGUGACAGACCCUGCGGCCACUCCAAGCCCUGUGACAGAUCCAACGGCCACUGUGACCCCUACGGUGGACUCGGCAGCCGCUCCAGAUCCGGUUCCUGCAGCCGCUCCAGCUCCGGUUCCUGCAGCCGCUCCAG